CCAGCAGCGCCCAGGCGCGGGGCUCUUGGCCCUGCCCCGGGGAGCCUGACCUGGUCCGGUAUCCAGGCUGAGGAAUGUCGGCCUUGGGUUAGUGACUGAGUGCGCGAGAGCGCCAACAAGGAAGAGCGGGGCUGCAGAGGCAGGCGACGGCACACCACCGCUGUUGGGCCUUGGCCACGAACACCCCACCAGGGGGAGCUGAUCCAAAGCACUGUUCCCUUGAGGUUUGCCCUAAGCCUCUUGCUCUCCUGGCUGAGAACACUGGCGUUUGAAGCUCUCCCUCCGCGGACUUACCUGCUCUUCGGAUAGGGCUGAAGUUCCCCAGGAAGAGGACAGAAGCCUGGAUUCCAGUUGCUUCAAUUUGGAAGGAUUGUGGCAAAGGACUUUACCAUUUGGUGGAAUCUGACACGUUGAACUGUUCACUUUGAGUAAUUUCCAAAGACGCUGUUGGUUGAAAGUUUUUGUAGGGUUGACCUUUUGAGUUUGUUUAAAGAAAAAAAAAUAGUUGU